AUAUGACUCUCGGCAACGGAUAUCUCGGCUCUCGCAUCGAUGAAGAACGUAGCGAAAUGCGAUACGUGGUGUGAAUUGCAGAAUCCCGUGAACCAUCGAGUCUUUGAACGCAAGUUGCGCCCGAGGGMCCCYCCCGRGGGCACGCCUGCCUGGGCGUUAGAA
rnacentral:rRNA from 1 species